GAUGAAGAACGCAGCGAAAUGCGAUACUUGGUGUGAAUUGCAGAAUCCCGUGAACCAUCGAGUCUUUGAACGCAAGUUGCGCCUCAAGCCAUUAGGUUGAGGGCACGUCUGCCUGGGCGUCACAUAUCGUUGCCUGAUGCCAGUUUCCUCGUGAUGGGUGACUGUGCAGGGCGAAUGGUGGCUUCCCGUGAGCAUUGUUGCCUCAUGGUUGGUUGAAAAUUGAGUCCUUGGUAGGGAGCGCCGUGAUAGAUGGUGGUUGAGUGACGAACGAGACCCAAUCAUGUGAGACCCCUACCGAAUUUGGCCUUCAUGACCCACAUGCGUCUUUGGAACGCUCAUGACGAGACCUCAGGUCAGGCGGGGCUACCCGCUGAGUUUAAGCAUAUCAAUAAGCGGAGGA
rnacentral:misc_RNA from 1 species